GAUGAACGCUGGCGGCGUGCCUAAUACAUGCAAGUCGAGCGAACAGACGAGGAGCUUGCUCCUCUGACGUUAGCGGCGGACGGGUGAGUAACACGUGGAUAACCUCCCUAUAAGACUGGGAUCACUUCGGGAAACCGGAGCUAAUACCGGAUAAUCUAUUGAACCGCAUGGUUCAAUAGUGAAAGACGGUUUUGCUGGAACUUCUAGCUGGAUCCGGGCGGCAUUGGCGAGUUGGUAAGGUAACGGCUUUCCAAGGCAAGUAGGCGUAACCGACGUGCUUGGGGGGUCGGCGACACUGGAACUGGGACGCGGUCCUGACUCCUACGGUAGGGAGCAGUAGGGAACCUUCGGCAAUGGGCGAAAGCCUGACGGAGUAACGCCGCGUGAGUUAUGAAGAUGUUCGGAUCGUAAAACUCUGUUAUGAGUGAAGAACAAAUGUGUAAGUAACUAUGCACGUCUUGACGGUACCUAAUCAGAAAGCCACGGCUAACUACGUG
rnacentral:rRNA from 1 species